rnacentral:rRNA from 1 species
UAAGACGGAGGGGGCUAGCGUUGUUCGGAAUUACUGGGCGUAAAGGGCGCGUAGGCGGCCGAUCAAGUUAGGCGUGAAAUCCCUGGGCUUAACCCAGGAACUGCGUUUAAUACUGAUUGGCUAGAGAUUGGUAGAGGAAAGUGGAAUUCCUAGUGUAGAGGUGAAAUUCGUAGAUAUUAGGAAGAACACCAGAGGCGAAGGCGACUUUCUGGGCCAAUACUGACGCUGAGGCGCGAAAGCGUGGGGAGCAAACAGGAUUAGAUACCCUGGUAGUCCACGCUGUAAACGAUGAGUGCUAGACGUCGGCGGUUUAACUGUCGGUGUCGCAGCUAACGCAUUAAGCACUCCGCCUGGGGAGUACGGUCGCAAGAUUA